rnacentral:miRNA from 1 species
CAGCAGACACAUUCCAGCCAAUCAGCAGCAGACUCUCCCUCCCAGACCCUUCCACCUCCUGGACAGCAUCCAUUUUGAAGCUGCAUUCUUAGUGAGCUGUCCAGGAGGUGAGAGGGUCUGGGAGGGAGGGUCUGCUGCUGAUUGGCUGGAAUGUGUCUGCUG